rnacentral:rRNA from 1 species
UGUGAGUGGCGCGUGGGAUCUGAACCGGUAGUAGGUAAGCGUAUUAACAGGGGUGACGCAUGAAGGUAGCCAGUUGGAGCGAUGGUUGUCUCCUUCCAAGGUCGUAGGAUGUUUCCUAGGCAAAUCCGGGAAACGUGAAGUCCGAGAACUGAUGGUGACCGCGCAAGCGGGAAAAUGGUGAUCCUAUGGUGCCAAGAAAAGCCUCGACGCGAGGUACUAGCCGCCCGUACCCCAAACCGACUCAGGUGGUCAGGUAGAGAAUACUAAGGCGAUCGAGAUAAUCGUGGUUAAGGAACUCGGCAAAAUGCCCCCGUAACUUCGGGAGAAGGGGGGCCCGGAGCGUGAACUCGACUUGCUUGAGUGAGCGUGCAAGGGCCGCAGAGACCAGAGAGAAGCGACUGUUUACUGAAAACACAGGUCCGUGCGAAGUCGCAAGACGAUGUAUACGGACUGACGCCUGCCCGGUGCUGGAAGGUUAAGAGGACGGGUUAGCCGUAAGGCGAAGCUCAGAAUUUAAGCCCCAGUAAACGGCGGUGGUAACUAUAACCAUCCUAAGGUAGCGAAAUUCCUUGUCGGGUAAGUUCCGACCUGCACGAAUGGCGUAACGACUUCUCUGCUGUCUCAACCGCGAACUCGGCGAAAUUGCACUACGAGUAAAGAUGCUCGUUACGCGCAGCAGGACGGAAAGACCCCGGGACCUUUACUAUAGCUUGGUAUUGGCGUUCGGAGUGGCUUGUGUAGGAUAGGUGGGAGACUAUGAAACUUUAACGCCAGUUAGAGUGGAGUCGUCCUUGAAAUACCACUCUGGUCACUUUGGACGUCUAACUUCGGUCCGUAAUCCGGACCAGGGACAGUGCCUGGUGGGUAGUUUAACUGGGGCGGUUGCCUCCCAAAAUGUAACGGAGGCGCCCAAAGGUUCCCUCAGCCUGGCUGGCAAUCAGGUGUCGAGUGUAAGUGCACAAGGGAGCUUGACUGUGAGACCGACGGGUCGAACAGGGACGAAAGUCGGGACUAGUGAUCCGGCAGUGGCUUGUGGAAGCGCUGUCGCUCAUCGGAUAAAAGGUACCCCGGGGAUAACAGGCUGAUCUUGCCCAAGAGUCCAUAUCGACGGCAUGGUUUGGCACCUCGAUGUCGGCUCGUCGCAUCCUGGGGCUGGAGUCGGUCCCAAGGGUUGGGUUGUUCGCCCAUUAAAGCGGCACGCGAGCUGGGUUUAGAACGUCGUGAGACAGUUCGGUCCCUAUCCGCUGCGCGCGCAGGAAACUUGAGAAGGGCUGUCCUUAGUACGAGAGGACCGGGACGGACUAACCUCUGGUGUGCCAGUUGUUCCGCCAGGAGCACGGCUGGUUAGCUACGUUGGGAAGGGAUAGCCGCUGAAAGCAUCUAAGCGGGAAGCCUGCUUCAAGAUGAGGUUUCCAUCACUCCUUGAGAGUGGAGAGGCUCCCAGUAGACCACUGGGUGAUAGGCCGGAAGUGGAAGCGGGGACUAAAGACCCGUGGAGCUGACCGGUACUAAUAAGCCGAUCACUUCU